rnacentral:rRNA from 1 species
GACGAACGCUGGCGGCGUGCUUAACACAUGCAAGUCGAACGGAAAGGCCCUGCUUUUGUGGGGUGCUCGAGUGGCGAACGGGUGAGUAACACGUGAGUAACCUGCCCUUGACUUUGGGAUAACUUCAGGAAACUGGGGCUAAUACCGGAUAGGAGCUCUUGCUGCAUGGGGGGGGUUGGAAAGUUUCGGCGGUUGGGGAUGGACUCGCGGCUUAUCAGCUUGUUGGUGGGGUAGUGGCUUACCAAGGCUUUGACGGGUAGCCGGCCUGAGAGGGUGACCGGCCACAUUGGGACUGAGAUACGGCCCAGACUCCUACGGGAGGCAGCAGUGGGGAAUAUUGCACAAUGGGCGGAAGCCUGAUGCAGCAACGCCGCGUGCGGGAUGACGGCCUUCGGGUUGUAAACCGCUUUCGCCUGUGACGAAGCGUGAGUGACGGUAAUGGGUAAAGAAGCACCGGCUAACUACGUG